rnacentral:rRNA from 1 species
GACGAACGCUGGCGGCGUGCUUAACACAUGCAAGUCGAACGGAAAGGCCCUGCUUUUGUGGGGUGCUCGAGUGGCGAACGGGUGAGUAACACGUGAGUAACCUGCCCUUGACUUUGGGAUAACUUCAGGAAACUGGGGCUAAUACAGGAUAGGAGCUCCUGCUGCAUGGUGGGGGUUGGAAAGUUUCGGCGGUUGGGGAUGGACUCGCGGCUUAUCAGCUUGUUGGUGGGGUAGUGGCUUACCAAGGCUUUGACGGGUAGCCGGCCUGAGAGGGUGACCGGCCACAGUGGGACUGAGAUACGGCCCAGACUCCUACGGGAGGCAGCAGUGGGGAAUAUUGCACAAUGGGCGGAAGCCUGAUGCAGCAACGCCGCGUGCGGGAUGACGGCCUUCGGGUUGUAAACCGCUUUCGCCUGUGACGAAGCGUGAGUGACGGUAAUAGGUAAAGAAGCACCGGCUAACUACGUG